ACAAUCAUCCAAUGGAACAGCUUGCCAUCAGAAGCUGUGAGUACUUCAUCACUUGAGACUUUCAAGAAGAGAUUGGACUGUCAUUUUUCAGAAAUGGUGUAGGUCUCCUGCUUGGGCAGGGGUUUGGACUAGAUUACCUACAAGGUCUUUUCC